CCUCCCAGCGCGCGGGCGUCGCCCGUCGGCCCGCUACCUCCGUGACUGCGGACGGACAGAGGCGUCUUCACUUGGAGGCGGGGGAAGCUGUCCGCCCGUUCCGCCUUGCAGCGUCCAGGUGGGAAGCCGGUUAUUCAGGUUUCGCUAGAAGAAAUACUCUCUGGCCGGACCGGAAGUCACUUCACGUCCCAUUCCUGACAGGGCUGCUGCUGGUGACAGAUCCUGGGACCUCUAACAUAAGCCGGCAGAAGAUGAGAAUUCUACUAGUCAGUCUCCCAGAUUUCUGCCUGUAGUAUCCAAUAAACGAGAAUGGUCACAGCUUGGUCACUGAGUGCUCUAAGAAGGCUGCCCUGAACCACCAAGAAUGGGUCAGGAUUUCGUACCUGAGAUGGCUGGUUGAUUUUCUUCCGAAAAGACUAUAGAGUUACAGCAGUGUACAGGGAGGUAUCUACCAAAUAAUGCAUGGCAAAAUGAGGAGGCAACUGACAAGCGAAGAGUUUGCGCAGUGGAGAACCACCCUGACCGUCUCUUGACUUUACAGGGAUCGUAGGUGGGACUCCAGGAUCUAUAACUGCCUUCUCACUUUGGAAUCCAAGGCCACCCUGUGAGUGGCAUCUAAAUCUUGCCAGCGACCUUCCUGUACAGGCCCAAGCUCCGUCUCUGACUCUCUCACCAUUUAAGGGUGGUGUCCUGCGUUCCGCCAGAUGCUGGCCUGCAAAGCACACCCUGGACAGUGUUGUUGGAUUUGGACUCUGUUAACCCAGGAUUGAGUUUGUUCCAGUACUGCCUGCACUUACAACAGGUCCAUGCCUCUCUACCCUGGCCAGGUGCUGUGCUAGUAGAGCUUCCUGAUAAUUACAGGGUAAAGGGGUGUGCUCAUAAAUGUGGGCCUAAUACAAACAGAGGAGAAAUAACAGCAAAAGUGGCAGAAAGCAAGUUUCAUGCAUCAAAACACUGAAUAGGCUGAAUCUCACUUGCAAAUUCAAGUUGGUAUCAAAGGAACGCCAUCUCAGUGGGAGUUGAACUAAAUGUUCAGAUCAGUGUUCUUGCCUCUACUGGACCAUCUAACUGCAUCACAGCCAGUUAGAUAUUCACAUCAUAGAAGCUAGAUAUUCCUAACAUUUAACUUAAGAGAUCCAGGGGAAAAAUGUAUGUGUGUUUAUAAUUUUUUUACACUCAACAAAUCCUUCAUAUAGAGAAUAUAACUUAUAAUAUUUUACCUCUAAGUGCUUUUUCCUCCAAAUGGAAGAUGAGCCUGAAAAGAUAAUCACAUAUGAAAGCUCAGAUGCAGACAGACACCAGUCUCACUGGCAAAACUCCUAGCUUGUAGGUGUUACCAGCACAAAAAGACAUGCCCUCCUCCACACAGCUAUGCCAGAUAAUAUACAAAGCAAUUAAUUUGGAAUCAUUGUUGGCAACUCUAGAUUUUAUCAUUCUAUUAUUCCAGUCCAUAAUUUGCAUUUUCAAAAACUAAAACAGUAAAGAGUUGGCUGGUAGCUUUUCAGGUACAAUCAUGAAUAAAGAUGAAAGAAGGUAAUAAUUUCACAGUGAGAAAAAUGCAGCCUUAGAAUAAGAUGACAUGGGUAUCAAUUCCAGCUCUGCUACUUAAUAGAGAUGGAAUAUCAGGAAGUUUCCUUAACUUGAUGCAGUCCAUAUUUCUUCAUCUAAAAUGGGGAGGAUAACAUCAAUACAGAAUAGUUAUUACUGAUCUCUAAGGGUUGGCAGGAAGAUGCUAGUCCUACUACUAUUUACCACAUAGCCUUGAUUAAAUUUCUACCUGAAAUCCCUUAAUUUGUCAAUCUACUUUGGUUUCCAUGCUUCAAGACGGCAGAGAAACAUUUUUGAAAAAGAAGUUCUCAGGUCAGCUAUUAUUGCAUACCACAGAUGCAGUUUAAAUGUCACCUCCUCUGUGAAGCAUUCUUGUUUCACCUUGCUCUCACGGAGCCUACAGUCUAGGGAGGGGAAACAGAAAUGAACCCAUAAGUUAAUAUGUAGUAUGUCGAAUGGUGAUUAAGUGCUUAAGUGUCAUGAAGAAAACAGCAGGGAUAGACAUCAUGGUAGACAGUCAAUAAGGAUGGCCAAAGAAAGUCUUCCUGAGAUGUCAUUUGAGUAAAAACCUGAAGGAGAUGACAGACUGAGCCAUGUGGAGAACUAGGCAAUGGAACUUCAGACAAGGAAACAGCAAGUGCAAAGGCCCUGGGGUGCAGAGAAAACAACAACAGUGUGCUAGAGAGGAUUAGCAGGGGGAGACAAUAGGUGAUAUCAGAGGGGCUUCGGGAGCCAGGUCAUGGGGGACCUUUCUUAGAGAGUGAAGUGGAAAUCCACUGCAGGGUUCUGAGCAGGGGAGGGAUGAGAUCUAGCAUGUUUUCUAAAAUUUGUGUUGAGAAUAGACUGAAGGGCGUUAAAGGCUUGAAGCAGGGACACUAGUUAGGGAGGCUACUAUAAUAAUUCAGGUGCUCCAUACUGAUGGCUCCACACUGAAGCUCCAGUGUGGUAGAAGUACAGGUGGAGAGCAGUGAUUGAAGGGAAAGUCAAGAGUGUUUCCUGAUCAGCUGGAUAUCUACUGUGGGAGA